GACCCAAUGGCACAACGGUUAGUGCGCUUGCUUUACUUACGGAGAGUAGUGCAAGUUUACACGAGAGAUCCUCGUUCGAUUCGGGGUUGGGUCC